rnacentral:rRNA from 1 species
UACGUAGGGAGCAAGCGUUGUCCGGAAUCAUUGGGCGUAAAGCGCGCGUAGGUGGCCAUGUAAGUCCGCUGUGAAAGUCAAAGGCUCAACCUUUGAAAGCCGGUGGAUACUGCAUGGCUAGAGUACGGAAGAGGCGAGUGGAAUUCCUGGUGUAGCGGUGGAAUGCGCAGAUAUCGGGAAGAACGCCCGUGGCGAAGGCGGCUCUCUGGGACGGUACUGACGCUGAGACGCGAAAGCGUGGGGAGCGAACAGG